rnacentral:rRNA from 1 species
ACUCUAAGCGGUGGAUCACUCGGCUCAUGGGUCGAUGAAGAACGCAGCAAACUGUGCGUCAUCGUGUGAACUGCAGGACACAUGAACAUCGACAUUUUGAACGCAUAUCGCAGUCCAUGCUGUUAUGUACUUUAAUUAAUUUUAUAGUGCUGCUUGGACUACAUAUGGUUGAGGGUUGUAAGACUAUGCUAAUUAAGUUGCUUAUAAAUUUUUAUAAGCAUAUGGUAUAUUAUUGGAUAAAUAUAAUAAUUUUUAUUCAUAAUAUUAAAAAAUAAAUGAAAAACAUUAUCUCACAUUUGAAUGUGAAAAACGAAGAGAAAUAUUUUCUUUUUCAAUCAAAUAAUACUGAGAAAUGUCUAGCAUAAAAAAUUGAAAUAUUUUUCAUCUAGAAUUGUCUCUUAUUAAUGAUUCGGAAAUAGAAAAAUCUUGGUUAUGUUAUUAUUCUUCGUUGGUUCGUUAAAAAUGGAUAAAUAAAAACUUUGCAUACAAGAAUUAAUAAAAAUGUUAUAACGAAUUUAAUUAAAUGUUUUAUCAUUAUAUAUAAAGAAUUUAUGGCAAGAUAAAGUUAUAUACAACCUCAACUCAUAUGGGACUACCCCCUGAAUUUAAGCAUAUUAAUUAGGGGAGGAAAAGAAACUAACAAGGAUUUUCUUAGUAGCGGCGAGCGAAAAGAAAACAGUUCAGCACUAAGUCACUUUGUCUAUAUGGCAAAUGUGAGAUGCAGUGUAUGGAGCGUCAAUAUUCUAGUAUGAGAAAUUAACGAUUUAAGUCCUUCUUAAAUGAGGCCAUUUACCCAUAGAGGGUGCCAGGCCCGUAUAACGUUAAUGAUUACUAGAUGAUGUUUCCAAAGAGUCGUGUUGCUUGAUAGUGCAGCACUAAGUGGGUGGUAAACUCCAUCUAAAACUAAAUAUAACCAUGAGACCGAUAGUAAACAAGUACCGUGAGGGAAAGUUGAAAAGAACUCUGAAUAGAGAGUUAAACAGUACGUGAAACUGCUUAGAGGUUAAGCCCGAUGAACCUGAAUAUCCGUUAUGGAAAAUUCAUCAUUAAAAUUGUAAUAUUUAAAUAAUAUUAUGAGAAUAGUGUGCAUUUUUUCCAUAUAAGGACAUUGUAAUCUAUUAGCAUAUACCAAAUUUAUCAUAAAAUAUAACUUAUAGUUUAUUCCAAUUAAAUUGCUUGCAUUUUAACACAGAAUAAAUGUUAUUAAUUUGAUAAAGUGCUGAUAGAUUUAUAUGAUUACAGUGCGUUAAUUUUUCGGAAUUAUAUAAUGGCAUAAUUAUCAUUGAUUUUUGUGUUUAUUAUAUGCACUUGUAUGAUUAACAAUGCGAAAGAUUCAGGAUACCUUCGGGACCCGUCUUGAAACACGGACCAAGGAGUCUAACAUAUGUGCAAGUUAUUGGGAUAUAAACCUAAUAGCGUAAUUAACUUGACUAAUAAUGGGAUUAGUUUUUUAGCUAUUUAUAGCUAAUUAACACAAUCCCGGGGCGUUCUAUAUAGUUAUGUAUAAUGUAUAUUUAUAUUAUUUAUGCCUCUAACUGGAACGUACCUUGAGCAUAUAUGCUGUGACCCGAAAGAUGGUGAACUAUACUUGAUCAGGUUGAAGUCAGGGGAAACCCUGAUGGAAGACCGAAACAGUUCUGACGUGCAAAUCGAUUGUCAGAAUUGAGUAUAGGGGCGAAAGACCAAUCGAACCAUCUAGUAGCUGGUUCCUUCCGAAGUUUCCCUCAGGAUAGCUGGUGCAUUUUAAUAUUAUAUAAAAUAAUCUUAUCUGGUAAAGCGAAUGAUUAGAGGCCUUAGGGUCGAAACGAUCUUAACCUAUUCUCAAACUUUAAAUGGGUAAGAACCUUAACUUUCUUGAUAUGAAGUUCAAGGUUAUGAUAUAAUGUGCCCAGUGGGCCACUUUUGGUAAGCAGAACUGGCGCUGUGGGAUGAACCAAACGUAAUGUUACGGUGCCCAAAUUAACAACUCAUGCAGAUACCAUGAAAGGCGUUGGUUGCUUAAAACAGCAGGACGGUGAUCAUGGAAGUCGAAAUCCGCUAAGGAGUGUGUAACAACUCACCUGCCGAAGCAACUAGCCCUUAAAAUGGAUGGCGCUUAAGUUGUAUACCUAUACAUUACCGCUAAAGUAGAUGAUUUAUAUUACUUGUGAUAUAAAUUUUGAAACUUUAGUGAGUAGGAAGGUACAAUGGUAUGCGUAGAAGUGUUUGGCGUAAGCCUGCAUGGAGCUGCCAUUGGUACAGAUCUUGGUGGUAGUAGCAAAUAAUCGAAUGAGACCUUGGAGGACUGAAGUGGAGAAGGGUUUCGUGUGAACAGUGGUUGAUCACGAGUUAGUCGGUCCUAAGUUCAAGGCGAAAGCCGAAAAUUUUCAAGUAAAACAAAAAUGCCUAACUAUAUAAACAAAGCGAAUUAUAAUACACUUGAAUAAUUUUGAACGAAAGGGAAUACGGUUCCAAUUCCGUAACCUGUUGAGUAUCCGUUUGUUAUUAAAUAUGGGCCUCGUGCUCAUCCUGGCAACAGGAACGACCAUAAAGAAGCCGUCGAGAGAUAUCGGAAGAGUUUUCUUUUCUGUUUUAUAGCCGUACUACCAUGGAAGUCUUUCGCAGAGAGAUAUGGUAGAUGGGCUAGAAGAGCAUGACAUAUACUGUUGUGUCGAUAUUUUCUCCUCGGACCUUGAAAAUUUAUGGUGGGGACACGCAAACUUCUCAACAGGCCGUACCAAUAUCCGCAGCUGGUCUCCAAGGUGAAGAGUCUCUAGUCGAUAGAAUAAUGUAGGUAAGGGAAGUCGGCAAAUUAGAUCCGUAACUUCGGGAUAAGGAUUGGCUCUGAAGAUUGAGAUAGUCGGGCUUGAUUGGGAAACAAUAACAUGGUUUAUGUGCUCGUUCUGGGUAAAUAGAGUUUCUAGCAUUUAUGUUAGUUACUUGUUCCCCGGAUAGUUUAGUUACGUAGCCAAUUGUGGAACUUUCUUGCUAAAAUUUUUAAGAAUACUAUUUGGGUUAAACCAAUUAGUUCUUAUUAAUUAUAACGAUUAUCAAUUAACAAUCAAUUCAGAACUGGCACGGACUUGGGGAAUCCGACUGUCUAAUUAAAACAAAGCAUUGUGAUGGCCCUAGCGGGUGUUGACACAAUGUGAUUUCUGCCCAGUGCUCUGAAUGUCAAAGUGAAGAAAUUCAAGUAAGCGCGGGUCAACGGCGGGAGUAACUAUGACUCUCUUAAGGUAGCCAAAUGCCUCGUCAUCUAAUUAGUGACGCGCAUGAAUGGAUUAACGAGAUUCCUACUGUCCCUAUCUACUAUCUAGCGAAACCACAGCCAAGGGAACGGGCUUGGAAUAAUUAGCGGGGAAAGAAGACCCUUUUGAGCUUGACUCUAAUCUGGCAGUGUAAGGAGACAUAAGAGGUGUAGAAUAAGUGGGAGAUAUUAGACCUCGGUUUGGUAUCGUCAAUGAAAUACCACUACUCUUAUUGUUUCCUUACUUACUUGAUUAAAUGGAACGUGUAUCAUUUCCUAGCCAUUAUACGGAUAUAUUUAUUAUAUCUUAUGGUAUUGGGUUUUGAUGCAAGCUUCUUGAUCAAAGUAUCACGAGUUUGUUAUAUAAUCGCAAACAAAUUCUUUAAUAAAACGAUGCAUUUAUGUAUUUUUGAUU